GGGGGGGCUGGACACACAGGCCAGCUUGGGCUUGGCUCUUCCCUGGGCAGCUGCCAUCAUGGGCACAGGCUCUGCUCUGAAUGAGGACCUUGUGACCAGACUGCCAAGGGGCAGCUUUCUUCCUCCCCAAACCUCCUCAACCCAGAACCAGCAGGGUGGGCCUGCGGAACAACCCCUGCAGCACCUCCAGGGCUCCUCUCAGAUCUGAAGGGCUGCUCCCCCACCUCACCAGUGCCUCACAUUGUGGAAUCUGCUGUCUCCAUCCUCCAUGAGGCGGAGGCCCACGAGCAGAGGCUGUCACUUGAUGCUGAAGACGGCAAUGAUGAGUCUCAAUAACAGCACGGCCUCUUACCCUGAUGAAGAAGCAGAGGAAAAGAUGUUAUGUAACUUACCCAACAUCACUGGGCUAGAAAUCAGAACUGGAGUCCUGGUGCACGUGAUUCUAGUGUGUAUCUAGCAUCUGCUCUGCUCUGCCUCUCGUGGUCUUCAGUACCAGCCCAAGGCCUCAAUUAAGUCCUCUACCUGGAAAUAGCCUCAUUGAAUUCUUUCCAAAGCAAAUUUCAGGUCAGGGUAAGGCUCAUGCCCAGAAAAACUGAGGCAAGAAACAGGAACCCCAGAGGGAUUUAGCUGCAGUGGGAAGAAUUAGGGCUGGAGGAUCAAAAGGACUGAGUUUCAAUUUCACUCUGCCUCUCGUUAGCAAGUGAAUUUGGCCAACUCUUUAACCUCUCUGAGCCUCAGUUUCUUCAUCUGGGACAUGGGUAUGGUAGCAGAAGCUACAUGUCAUAGGUUACGAGGCACAAAUGAGGAGACAUACAAGCAGGAUUUGUCAAAUGCAAAUGAUUGUCUAGUGUAAGAUUAUUGGGGCCUGUAGUCACUCAAUAUUUGUUAUGAAUUUUAGGAGGUGAGUACAGAGACUGUGGUUACAUCCAGGAGGUCCUGGACCUGGACUUGUCCCUGAAAUGACAAAUUAUAAGUCAAAUGAGAGUAUGAUCAACUUGCCACCCACUGCCUUCUGUUAACAUUUUGUGAUCUUUCUAUAGCUAUGACUUGGGCCUCAGACCAUCUUUCCUUAUCUCUGUAAAAUGAGGGACUCUAGCCCCACCAAUUUUAAUAUUGGGGCUGAAAUACUAGGCAAGUCCUUGUGACUUUUGCUAAUAUAGAAGUGCAGUCCAGAAGGGCCCCUUUUCUUCAUGCAAUGGGUAAAACUUAGUGUCUUGAGUUUGUCCAUGUCAGGUUUCACUGCUGAACCCUUUAUUAAUUCAUUCAAUACACACAUUUAUUAAAGUUUAUCUUAAAAUUAAAAAGCAAGCUGUGUAUUCUUGCUAUAAGAAAUACAGAUGAGGGCUGGGGAUGUGGCUCAAGCAGUAACGCGCUCGCCUGGCAUGCGUGCGGCCCGGGUUCGAUCCUCAGCACCACAUACCAACAAAGAUGUUGUGU